UCGAACUCCCGGACCACGAGAUCGUGACCUGGCUGAAGUCGGACGCUUAACCGACUGCGCCACCCAGGCGCCCCUACCUUCUAUUUUCUAACAGCAGCGGGAGAGACGUGUGCUUCAGCCUGUGUUGUUAUAAUCUUUUCAGAACUCAGAAUACGUGGGAAGGGUAGAAAGUGAACAUCUUUUUUUAAAAAAAAUGGGCUGUUUGGCAUGACUUAGGGUAGAGAUAAAACACGAUCGUGGUGGAGUUGGCUUGAGACAGCCUUUAAACAACGCACACUGUUGGCUUAGCCGUAUCUUAAAAACUUAGGGGCUAAGGAGCACGUGACUCCGUGCCAGACGUGGUCCUUGGGUCUUUAAGUGCGCAGUCUUACUUAAUCCUGGCAACCUCACGAAGUGGUGUCUUUAUCUGCUGUUUUACGGGGAAGGAGGUUCUGCAGUAGAUACCGUGUCUCAAAGUCCCACUUCAGACCCCUGUGUAACUGGCACCAGAGUCUACACGGGCUUUCGGUGACGCGUAACCGCAUGCCUUCGCCCCUUCCGUAAGCAUCCGGGAGCCGUCCGGCCCUGGGUCUGCUGAGAUCAUCUGCGAUCCCCGCCUGCACGGGGCCUAGGGUUCGGUGGGGCUGGCGGUCAGCAGGCAGGACAUCACAACUGAGGGUGGCAAAGCCCCGCCAUUGGAGGGACGCCGGUGUCCCCCGUGGGCAGAGCGGCUGCUCCAAGGGGCAUUCAAAAGGAGGCCUGGAGAGUCAGAGGAACAGGCGUGCCAGCCCAGGGGAGGGCGGGCCAACAGGGCAGGGUGGGGGGUGCCUGAAGGAUGGAGGGGGUUCGGCGUGGCUGGCCACGGCGAGGAGGGAGGGGAGGGAACGUAACUUGGAGCGGCCGCAGGGCCACGCCCAGCAGAGCCUUUCGGACCAGAGUGUGGACCGCGGGUUUCUUUCCAAGGGUGGAGAGGAGCACUGGGCGGUUUUGGGCGGGGAGUGGCAUGCAGUGACUCGGGGAGCGGCGGCGGGGGGGGGGACAGGAGGCAGCUGGGUGGCCACAUUUUCCGUGGUCUCUACCCCCUCCCCAUGCCAGAGAGUCCUCACAGCCAGCUGGCCCGAAAGGACAGAAAUCCUAUCCUGGCCACAGGACCAGGGUCCGGGCUCACUGUGGACAUUGUCUCCCUGUCCUCUUCUGCCUGGGGGAGGACUUUAAGGCCCCUGUUGGGGCCUCCGUUUGGGUUCGUCUGCUGGUUCGACUGGGGGUUUGGAGGGAGCCCACAGAGCUGGAGUGCCCUUCUUAUGACGUCGUAUCUAAGAGGUUGGUUCGUGCGCUUUCUCUCCAAGCAUCAGGCUCAACUCACCGGAGGAGGAAAGCGAAGCCUCUGGGCGCUUGUGACAGCUGACAUAUUCCCAGCAAGCUGAGGGAUGGUUCCCAUUAAAUGAGGAUUUAUGAUCAAUCCCCGCAAAUUAAGGCUGCCUCGUGAGCUGCAGACUGCAUGCUGGGGGAGCCUGAAACCAAGAACUGCCGGAAGGAGUAGACAACAAAAACACCAAGACAAUCUUGCUCUUUCUGGUCCAAAGACAUUUCAGUAGGACAGAAAACUUUUUUGGCAACAUCGCCAUGCCCCAACUCAACGCCACGGAUGCCCCACGCCACCCCACCCCAAGGUGAUGUCAGCAGAGCCUGAGAGGGGAGUGCAGACACCCACCCCUCUCCCCUACAUUGGGCAGAGGCACUCCUUUCCUGUUUCAGUGUCAGUGAAGACACAUAGGAGACCCUGGGCUUCCUCUCUCAGGGCAGCUGGUGCCCCUCCCACUCCCAGCGUAGAGAUUGACAGGAGAAUUUCAGAUGGGAGAGGGCUGAAGAAAGGGAUUCUUUCAACUCACAUAAGAAGUCCUGGGCAGACACCUAACCGCUCACAUGUGAAACUGACCUGAAUAAACAUGCUGUGGCCUCUGGGCAGUGUACAAAGGAGACCAGAAUAGUGCUGCAAGGAUUCCAAUCCAAACUGUCACCGGACCUACAGCCCACACCUGUAGCCAGGACCUGUGCUGGCUGUAGCCUGAGUGACCGCUGUUAAAAUGGAAGAUUCAUAGAGGAUCCAGAUUGCCUAAUAUACUACCCAGAUGUCCGGGGUACAAUAGAAAAUCACUCAUCAUAACAAGGGGGUCUCUGGAAUGUGCACUGCAUGGACUGCACACAGGCAGCCCUGAGAUAGGGCACCUACCUGUACAUCAACGUUCUAAAGUUUCAAAUAUCUGUAAAGAGUGUCCUUGGGCACAUGCUUUGGGCAGUGAGGAGACCCUCAUGACUCUUUGUGGGGUAUGGGGGGCAGAGGACUGGAAAGGGGGAAGGAGAGUCAGGAGGGAAGGGAAGGGCGAUUUGGAAUGGGGAACACACACCAACACCUUCCAACGACGUUGAAAUAGGGUCCUUUCCUUGGGUUCAUCACACGAUUGACCAUUUUCUGUUGUAAGUGCUCUGGAUUUAUGUUCAUGGCCAAAGGCAAUAAACAGACACUUGAUCGUUU